AUGUUUUUUGCCCUCCUAUCCUUUUGUCUUUUUCAGGAUAUGUCCUCUUAUGAAGAUAUUGAAGGUGCAUCAACACAAGGUUCAUUAAGACGUGACAUGACAGAUGAGAACGGUGAAUCCAGCAGCCUCUCAAGUAGCCAUGCAAACGGGUCCAGGGAGGAUGCAGAGCUGCAGUCAAGCACCAGUGAUAGUGCGAUGAUCAAUCUGUAUUCCCAGCUGAUGUCCCGGAUGAGCAGUGCCUUCCACAGAAAACACACCGCAGAGGCUGCAUUUAGUGUAGUGAAGUCCUAUAGGAAGCGCUUGUGGAAUGCCAACAGGUCCAUGUUAGACACUACUUUCAGUUUCAACCGCAAAGAGAAAUCAAAAAAGGACUCAAAGAACAAAUCCAGCAAUUCAAAGCUUGUACGGUUUUCUAAAUCCAGCCAAUGUGCAGUGCAGAGCAGUCCAGAGCAAUCAGACGUGAGGAGCAAUAGGACCUUCAUUAUUUCUGCUUCUGCCAAUCAUACAAGACAGUCACUCACUGUGGGUAGGAAGAGCCCUUUAAGUAAGCCAAGACAAGAGUUGCAAAUGUCUCCUGCUGCAAAAUCUGUUAAGGGCAAACAAAGUGAAUCCCAGACAACAAGUUUUUUAGUUUACUUUCCAAGAGCUAAUUCUGCAACAUACUGGAAAGAUUGCAUGAGUAAAUAUAUGGAUGUCAUGAGACCAGGCACGUUUCAUCAGAGGUCUCUUUCUUCUGAACAGAACAGAAUCAGCUGCCCUCCACCACUGCACCCAGCUGUUUUUUCACCCAAAAAGCCUGCUAUUAGUGCCAGCAGCUCUGAUUCUCCCAAGAUGGACAGUAAUGUCAGUAUGAAUCAAAUACAGAAACGGGGAUUUAAAAAGGCCAUGAAGUCCAAAGUCAGCAGUUCAGAGAUGGUGUUUUAUCCCAGAUCCAGUCAUCCUGCUCGUCUGUUGAAUGAAGAAUCUAUAUCUGACUGCAACUCUCUAGAGCAAUCAGACGUGAGGCCUUUUUCUACAACAUAUAUUGUUUCUUCUAAUGCCAGUUACUCAAGAAGACCUCUCUUUCUGGGUGAGAAGAGCCCUUUAAGUAAGCAGAGUGUCAUUCCUCUGCGAUCUCCUCAUUCCAUUCAAGAAGGGGUCGCAUCUGUACAGCCACAGCUCCCACGUACUCUUGUGUCGGAAAAGCACAGUGUUGUUACAUCCAUUGGCUGCAGUUUGCCGAAGUCAGAAGAUUACAGUACUGUGACUCCAAAACAGAAAUAUAGAUAUGAAAGGGCUGUUAAGACUGAUAAUGGCAGUUCAGAGCUUGUGGGCUCUUUCAGAUCCAGUCGUCCUUCUUUGCCAUUGAAUACAAAAUCUGCAUCUGACUGCAGCUCUCCAGAGCAGUCAGACAUGAGGUCUAGGACCUUCAUUAUUUCUGCUGAUGCCACUCAUACAAAACAGUCACUCACUGUGGGUAGGAAGAGCCCUUUAAGUAAGCCAAGACAAGAAUUGCAAAUGUCUCCUGUUAAGUGCAAACAAGGUGAUUCCCAGACAAUGGCUUUUUUUAUUAGGUCUCCAGAAACUAAUGCUGUGACAUGCUUGGGAGACUCUGUGUGUGAACAUGUAAUGGAAGCAGGUGCGUUUCAUCAGAGGUCUCUUUCUUCUGAAAAGCAAAACGGCUCUGAUUCUCCUAAACUUAAAGGUUACUCCCCUUUGAAUCCAAUAGAGAAAUUGAGAUCUAAAAAGGCCAUGAGACGCAAUAACAGCAGUUCAGAGCUUCUGGGUCCAUCUAGAACGAGUCAUCCUGUGAAUGCAGAAUCUAUAUUUGACUUCGAACAGCCAGACACAAGGGAUUCCUCUAGAGCCUACAUUUUUUCUUCGAAUGCCAGUCAGUCAAGAAGACAACUCCUUGAGGGUGAGAAGGGCCAUUAUAUAAAAGAAUUGCGGAGACCAGAGGAGAUAUCUUUUCUGACUCCUGUUAGAAACAAAAAUGGCGGCGGAACCAAGCCAGUGACUUACUACAAGGCUCCUAUGGUAGACUUUAAGGAUCACUGUAGUGAUGGAGUCCAUAAGGGUGAGUUUCUUCCAAGGUCUCCUGCCUCACAGCAAGGGAUAAGCAGCUCCAAACCACCACUUAAUGCUUUUUCAGUUGGAAAGCAGUCGCUGUUCUCCACAGAAGGAUAUCUAGUCAAGAAAAUAAGUGAGGCUAACCAGAUUCCUAAGAGGUGUCACUCCUCCUCUUCGGUGUUUCAGCAGAGCAACAGACCAGAUAUUGAGCCAGAGUUUGAAGAUCUCUAUCAAAGAAUGGUUCUUGGCAAGAGUGGUACUUCAUUUUGCACAGAGGGUAACAGAGUACGCGAAAACACCUCUCCUGCCAGCAUUCACAAUGCCAGAGUGGGGAAAAGGAUGGGUGAGUUUGAAGAUCAUACCUAUCCCGAGGCGAAAAGAUUCCAAGGGUUGUCUGACACCAUUAAUCAUGAGGGCUCUAGAAGCAAUGGGGGAAUGUCUCCAAUUUCUAGAAGCUCGUACAGUAUGUUGCAGCAAUAUAAGCAGAACUGAAGAGAUUCACCAGCAGGACUGGAUUCUUUUCAGAGAACUGGAAAUCUGAUGUUUCAGGAUGAUGUAGAAGGCAAGUCACAACUCCUUCUGAUUUUUCUGUUUUAUCAUCUUCCAUUGUGGAAUUGUCAGGAUGUAGUGAACUCAGUAGCACAAUUUAUAUUGUAUGGUACUCUCCUCUGACAUGACCAGUGUCUUAGUCCCCUGGUCCUGCAAUGGAUUACUUCUCGUUUCUUGUACCUAGUGGAGAUUUAUUCAGCAUUUUGAACUGGAAUUGACCACUGAAAUUUUUGACUAGUCAAUCCGAGUUGAAUUGCAAGAUGAUGAUUAGGAUGAUUAGAUUAAUAACAUGGUUUGCUUCAUAUAUACACAAAAUCCACCAGCAAGACUGGGAGUUAUUUGGUUUAUAUGAAGAUAUUCAGUGCUUUUUGCAGCAUCCUAACAAAUUUAAAUUUAGUGUUUGAAGGAAGAGCUAAAAGAACAGUACUAGUGUCUGUUGUUUUUAAACUUGUAUUUUAAAAAAUGUCCAGCCCUGCCUAGGGAGGCAAUAUAUGGCAAGCCAACAAUACAGUAUUCAACUCAGGGCUUACAACACCCUUUUUUUGUUUGACCAAUUGUGCCUUUCUGCUUGGGGAAUCCAGUCACAAUUGUCUAGUUUAGCUAGGAAAGAGCUCAAGAUCCUUGACUGAGUCAACCAAAAUCUGGGAGCUAUGCAAAUUCAGAUGUCUGUAAGUUCAAAUAAUAUUAGUUCUGAUUGGCCGUUUCUUUCUCUGAAACAAUAAGACCUCAAGUAAAAUGUAUUUUGUUAACAAUUCAGCCUUCUGUCACAGAGCUGAGCAGUUCAAAUAGCUCCAGUGUAUCAGCCUCUGUAUCAAAGCCCAGCCUAUUCACAUACUGAUUAUUUUAUUUAUCAACAGGCUUAUUGUUCACAGCCCUGCUGUCUAUAAAACUCACAAACUAUGGCUUUCAUCAUUACAAUAAUGUUCUCAGCACACAGGAUUUAGAGGCACAUAAUGCCCUACUCAGAAGAUAUUCCUGAAGACUUCUGGAAAAAGUCAUUGAUGCCUAUCAGUCUGUACAACACUAUUUUUUAACCUCUGGGACUAUACCGAUCCACAGAUAAGAGACAUAGUCUGUAACAUAGGUGCUAUUUUUGUCACACAUAUCCUGCAGGGUGACCAGAUAGCAGACCUUUUCGUGGGCCACGGUGACUCAGCUGAUGAAGAACAGUAGUGAUUCUUCUACAGGUUUCCUAAAAUUCUGCAUUGUUAAUGUAAAUAAGUUAAAGUAAUGCUGUUUUCAAGUUGAGGUUGAAGUUUGAAUUUGUUUGCAGACAAUAUUUGCAGAAUAAAUUCCAGAAUUCGUUUUGGAAUGUUGUUUUCACUGUUUGUUGAACAGUAAAUGGUCAUUUUAAACCAUAGUUUGUUGAACAGUUUUUACUUCAAGCUUAUUAUGCUUGGCUCAGUUGGAAAAAAGGUCAUUUUCUAUUGUAAAAGUACAUGUUUAUCCAUGUGCAAAAGCUGUUUUCCAGUUUGUAAGGUUUUUGUUGAGGAUGUGUACAUUUGUAUCUUAAAUGUGCACAAGAAGUUUA
rnacentral:lncRNA from 1 species